rnacentral:lncRNA from 1 species
CCAACAAGUGUACAACAAUGGACGAAGUGUAUCGGUGCUGCAGCACAAGACCUGUCAAGCUGUAGAGUAUGUGGAGCUAUAGGUGGGCUGAAACAAGGAACGAACUAGCACCACAUUAGUUAUAAAAGCGAGCUGAAUAAGCGUUCGACGAUGGUACUGUGCUGGUCCUAGGCUAGACCGUGCUAGAGACGCGAGCCUGGACACAAAGGAAAACCACAACACACCCCCGAAAACAAGGUGGAACAAACCUAAAAUCAAUAUGAAAAACAGCCCCUUUUUUUCUUUUGAAUCUUUUCUCUUUUCUUUUUUUUUCUUUUUUUGGGCAACCUCAAAAACUAAUUAUAUGAACAAAAGAAUACAAAAGAGCAAUUCGCUACACACACUUUUUUUCCGAAAGUACAGGGGUAUUCUGGUAAAAAGAAGAUACUCCCUCUCUAGAGUAAGGUCGAACAAGUAUGGAGUUAUCCUUCUUUUUUUAUCACGUUGGUGGAACUCAGAUUGGAACUCUACUCGAUCCGGACCAAGACCAUAGUUCAAUUCGGACAUCGCAACAGAUUCGACAGAGAGAAGAUAUGGUAAUACUUGGAUGGUGACAAGAACUCGAAACUCUAAAGGACUAGACACUAAGACCAGCAACUCGACACAAACCGAAGCAACG